rnacentral:pre_miRNA from 1 species
CUGGCGUUGGUGCUGGGGAGCGGCCCCCGGGGUGGGCCUCCACUCUGGCCCCUCCUAGGGCCAGCACUCAGGAUCCCGUCCAG